AACGAACGCUGGCGGCAGGCUUAACACAUGCAAGUCGAACGCAUCCUUCGGGGUGAGUGGCAGACGGGUGAGUAACGCGUGGGAACGUGCCCUUCAGUUCGGGAUAACCCAGGGAAACUUGGGCUAAUACCGGAUAUGUGCGAGAGCAGAAAGAUUUAUCGCUGAAGGAUCGGCCCGCGUCUGAUUAGCUAGUUGGUGGGGUAAUGGUCCACCAAGGCGACGAUCAGUAGCUGGUCUGAGAGGAUGAUCAGCCACAUUGGGACUGAGACACGGCCCAAACUCCUACGGGAGGCAGCAGUGGGGAAUAUUGGACAAUGGGCGCAAGCCUGAUCCAGCCAUGCCGCGUGAGUGAUGAAGGCCUUAGGGUUGUAAAGCUCUUUCGUCCGGGACGAUAAUGACGGUACCGGAAGAAGAAGCCCCGGCUAACUUCGUGCCAGCAGCCGCCGUAA
rnacentral:rRNA from 1 species